rnacentral:rRNA from 1 species
AGGACGAACGCUGGCGGCGUGCUUAAUACAUGCAAGUCGAGCGAGAAGCCACCGCUCCGUAAGGAGUGGUGGUGGAAAGCGGCGAACGGGUGAGUAACACGUGGGUAAUGUGCCCUGAACAUCGGGAUAACAGCCGGAAACGGCUGCUAAUACCGAAUAACCCUGCAAUGUCGCAUGACGAAGCAGGCAAAGUUCCGGCGGUUCAGGAUCAGCCCGCGGUGUAUCAGCUUGUUGGUGGGGUAACGGCCUACCAAGGCUUUGACGCAUAGCUGGCGUGAGAGCGCGACCAGCACACUGGGACUGAGACACGGCCCAGACUUCUACGGAAGGCAGCAGUA